rnacentral:piRNA from 1 species
CGUUCUGAAUGGGUCUUGAGCCG